CGUUGAAACGCCAGUUUUCGUACGAUCACUGAAGUUAAGCAACGUUGACCCUGAUCAGUACUUAAAUGGGUGAUCGCUUGGGAAUACCAGAUG